CAAGUGGUCUGAACUGAAAGCCGUUCCAAUGACGGGAAAACCAAGAUGCUCUCCAUUUGCUCAGAACCUCCUGUGAGGAAAAUGUGAACAGUUCACGUGUGGGUCUAGGAGGAGAUCCAAAGGAGGUGUGGCUGGUACCGGACGAGCCCAUGAAAUUGAAGACAAGACUGUCCUCCAAAAUUGAGCCAUCAAUUAAGAAAUAAUCUGGGCUUCCCUGGUGGCGCAGUGGUUGAGAGUCUGCCUGCCAAUGCAGGGGACACGGGUUCGAGCCCUGGUCUGGGAAGAUCCCACAUGCCGCGGAGCAACUAGGCCCGUGAGCCACAACUACUGAGCCUGCGUGUCUGGAGCCUGUGCUCCGCAACAAGAGAGGCCGCGAUAGUGAGAGGCCCGCGCAUCGCGAUGAAGAGUGGCCCCCGCUUGCUGCAACUAGAGAAAGCCCUCGCACAGAAACGAAG